CCCUUAGAUGUUCUGGGCCACACACGCGCUACACUGAAGGAGGCAGCGUGUACUCCUGGAUCGAAAGAUUUGGGUAACCCGCGAAUCUCCUUCGUGCUAGGGAUUGAGGUUUGCAAUUAUCCUUCAUGAACGAGGAAUUCCCAGUAAGUGCAAGUCAUAAGCUUGCGCUGACUACGUCCCUGCCCUUUGUACACACCGCCCGUCGCUACUACCGAUUGAAUGAUUUAGUGAGGACUUCGGACUGGGACCAAUGCGGCUUUCGGGCUGCGUCGGUAUUCUGGAAAGAUGUCCAAACUGUAUCAUUUAGAGGAAGUAAAAGUCGUAACA
rnacentral:rRNA from 1 species